UAGGGAAUAUUGCGCAAUGGGCGAAAGCCUGACGCAGCAACGCCGCGUGGGCGAGGAAGGUCUUCGGAUUGUAAAGCCCUGUCAGGGGGGAAAAACGGCGUACGGUCGAACAGACCUUACGAUUGAUGGUACCCUCAAAGGAAGCACCGGCUAACUUCGUGCCAGCAGCCGCGGUAAUACGAAGGGUGCAAGCGUUGUUCGGAUUUAUUGGGCGUAAAGCGCGCGCAGGCGGAUGAACAAGUCAGAUGUGAAAUCUCGGGGCUUAACCCCGAAACUGCGUCUGAAACUAUUUGUCUAGAAUGUUGGAGAGGGAGGGGGAAUUUCGCAUGUAGGGGUAAAAUCCGUAGAUAUGCGAAGGAACACCAGAGGCGAGAGCGCCCUCCUGGACAACUAUUGACGCUGAGGCGCGAAAGCGUGGGGAGCAAACAGG
rnacentral:rRNA from 1 species